AUUGAACGCUGGCGGCAGGCCUAACACAUGCAAGUCGAACGAGUGGCGGACGGGUGAGUAAUGCGUGGGAAACUGCCUGAUGGAGGGGGAUAACUACGGGAAACGGUAGCUAAUACCGCAUACCAUCGGAUGUGCCCAGAGGGGAUUAGCUAGUAGGUGGGGUAACGGCUCACCAAGACGACGAUCCCUAGCUGGUUUGAGAGGAUGACCAGCCACACUGGAACUGAGACACGGUCCAGACUCCUACGGGAGGCAGCAGUGGGGAAUAUUGCACAAUGGGGGCAAGCCUGAUGCAGCCAUGCCGCGUGAAUGAAGAAGGCCUUCGGGUUGUAAAGUACUUUCAGUGGGGAGGCGUUACCCGCAGAAGAAGCACCGGCUAACUCCGUGCCAGCAGCCGCGGUAAUAC
rnacentral:rRNA from 1 species